UUUAUGGAGAGUUUGAUCCUGGCUCAGGAUGAACGCUGGCGGCGUGCCUAAUACAUGCAAGUCGAGCGAACGGACGAGAAGCUUGCUUCUCUGAUGUUAGCGGCGGACGGGUGAGUAACACGUGGAUAACCUACCUAUAAGACUGGGAUAACUUCGGGAAACCGGAGCUAAUACCGGAUAAUAUUUUGAACCGCAUGGUUCAAAAGUGAAAGACGGUCUUGCUGUCACUUAUAGAUGGAUCCGCGCUGCAUUAGCUAGUUGGUAAGGUAACGGCUUACCAAGGCAACGAUGCAUAGCCGACCUGAGAGGGUGAUCGGCCACACUGGAACUGAGACACGGUCCAGACUCCUACGGGAGGCAGCAGUAGGGAAUCUUCCGCAAUGGGCGAAAGCCUGACGGAGCAACGCCGCGUGAGUGAUGAAGGUCUUCGGAUCGUAAAACUCUGUUAUUAGGGAAGAACAUAUGUGUAAGUAACUGUGCACAUCUUGACGGUACCUAAUCAGAAAGCCACGGCUAACUACGUGCCAGCAGCCGCGGUAAUACGUAGGUGGCAAGCGUUAUCCGGAAUUAUUGGGCGUAAAGCGCGCGUAGGCGGUUUUUUAAGUCUGAUGUGAAAGCCCACGGCUCAACCGUGGAGGGUCAUUGGAAACUGGAAAACUUGAGUGCAGAAGAGGAAAGUGGAAUUCCAUGUGUAGCGGUGAAAUGCGCAGAGAUAUGGAGGAACACCAGUGGCGAAGGCGACUUUCUGGUCUGUAACUGACGCUGAUGUGCGAAAGCGUGGGGAUCAAACAGGAUUAGAUACCCUGGUAGUCCACGCCGUAAACGAUGAGUGCUAAGUGUUAGGGGGUUUCCGCCCCUUAGUGCUGCAGCUAACGCAUUAAGCACUCCGCCUGGGGAGUACGACCGCAAGGUUGAAACUCAAAGGAAUUGACGGGGACCCGCACAAGCGGUGGAGCAUGUGGUUUAAUUCGAAGCAACGCGAAGAACCUUACCAAAUCUUGACAUCCUUUGACAACUCUAGAGAUAGAGCCUUCCCCUUCGGGGGACAAAGUGACAGGUGGUGCAUGGUUGUCGUCAGCUCGUGUCGUGAGAUGUUGGGUUAAGUCCCGCAACGAGCGCAACCCUUAAGCUUAGUUGCCAUCAUUAAGUUGGGCACUCUAAGUUGACUGCCGGUGACAAACCGGAGGAAGGUGGGGAUGACGNNANAUNNNANCAUGCCCCUUAUGAUUUGGGCUACACACGUGCUACAAUGGACAAUACAAAGGGCAGCGAAACCGCGAGGUCAAGCAAAUCCCAUAAAGUUGUUCUCAGUUCGGAUUGUAGUCUGCAACUCGACUACAUGAAGCUGGAAUCGCUAGUAAUCGUAGAUCAGCAUGCUACGGUGAAUACGUUCCCGGGUCUUGUACACACCGCCCGUCACACCACGAGAGUUUGUAACACCCGAAGCCGGUGGAGUAACCUUUUAGGAGCUAGCCGUCGAAGGUGGGACAAAUGAUUGGGGUGAAGUCGUAACAAGGUAGCCGUAUCGGAAGGUGCGGCUGGAUCACCUCCUUU
rnacentral:rRNA from 1 species